rnacentral:rRNA from 1 species
GUAAGGAAUAUUGGUCAAUGGACGCAAGUCUGAACCAGCCAUGCCGCGUGGAGGAUGAAGGUCCUCUGGAUUGUAAACUUCUUUUAUCUGGGAAGAAAUGCAUUUUUUCUAAAGUGUUUGACGGUACCAGAUGAAUAAGCACCGGCUAACUCCGUGCCAGCAGCCGCGGUAAUACGGAGGGUGCAAGCGUUAUCCGGAUUCACUGGGUUUAAAGGGUGCGUAGGUGGGCAGGUAAGUCAGUGGUGAAAUCUCCGGGCUUAACCCGGAAACUGCCAUUGAUACUAUCUGUCUUGAAUACCGUGGAGGUGAGCGGAAUAUGUCAUGUAGCGGUGAAAUGCUUAGAUAUGACAUAGAACACCAAUUGCGAAGGCAGCUCACUACACGAAUAUUGACACUGAGGCACGAAAGCGUGGGGAUCAAACAGGAUUAGAUACCCUGGUAGUCC